rnacentral:RNase_MRP_RNA from 13 species
ACACGCUUCGGAGCAUACACACGGAGCAGUCGCGUUCGCGCGCUCUCAAUCACCCAUGCUCUGAGGAAAGUCCCCGGGCACUACGGCAGAAAGUGCCACCCGUAAAGGUUAGGUCCCCGCGGCGGUGGGAAGACGAAGAGGGCU